CCGCUCGGAGAUGCCGAGAUCAUCUCUCACGUCAUCACCGGCCUCGACAUCGACUACAAUCCCGUGAUCUCGGCCUUGGCCGCGCGGGUCGAACCGGUCAUGGUUCAGGAUCUCUACAGCCAGCUUCUGAGUUUCGACG
rnacentral:snoRNA from 1 species